AGAGUUUGAUCCUGGCUCAGGACGAACGCUGGCGGCGUGCCUAAUACAUGCAAGUCGAGCGGACAGAUGGGAGCUUGCUCCCUGAUGUUAGCGGCGGACGGGUGAGUAACACGUGGGUAACCUGCCUGUAAGACUGGGAUAACUCCGGGAAACCGGGGCUAAUACCGGAUGCUUGUUUGAACCGCAUGGUUCAAACAUAAAAGGUGGCUUCGGCUACCACUUACAGAUGGACCCGCGGCGCAUUAGCUAGUUGGUGAGGUAAUGGCUCACCAAGGCAACGAUGCGUAGCCGACCUGAGAGGGUGAUCGGCCACACUGGGACUGAGACACGGCCCAGACUCCUACGGGAGGCAGCAGUAGGGAAUCUUCCGCAAUGGACGAAAGUCUGACGGAGCAACGCCGCGUGAGUGAUGAAGGUUUUCGGAUCGUAAAGCUCUGUUGUUAGGGAAGAACAAGUGCCGUUCGAAUAGGGCGGCACCUUGACGGUACCUAACCAGAAAGCCACGGCUAACUACGUGCCAGCAGCCGCGGUAAUACGUAGGUGGCAAGCGUUGUCCGGAAUUAUUGGGCGUAAAGGGCUCGCAGGCGGUUUCUUAAGUCUGAUGUGAAAGCCCCCGGCUCAACCGGGGAGGGUCAUUGGAAACUGGGGAACUUGAGUGCAGAAGAGGAGAGUGGAAUUCCACGUGUAGCGGUGAAAUGCGUAGAGAUGUGGAGGAACACCAGUGGCGAAGGCGACUCUCUGGUCUGUAACUGACGCUGAGGAGCGAAAGCGUGGGGAGCGAACAGGAUUAGAUACCCUGGUAGUCCACGCGUAAACGAUGAGUGCUAGUGUUAGGGGUUUCGCUCCUAGUGCUGCAGCUACGCAUUAAGCACUCCGCCUGGGGAGUACG
rnacentral:rRNA from 1 species